rnacentral:rRNA from 1 species
UACGAAGGGGGCUAGCGUUGCUCGGAAUCACUGGCGUAAAGGCGCACGUAGGCGGCUUCUUAAGUCAGGGGUGAAAUCCUGGAGCUCAACUCCAGAACUGCCUUUGAUACUGAGAGCUUGAGUCCGGAGAGGUGAGUGGAACUGCGAGUGUAGAGGUGAAAUUCGUAGAUAUUCGCAAGAACACCAGUGGCGAAGGCGGCUCACUGGCCCGGUACUGACGCUGAGGUGCGAAAGCGUGGGGAGCAACAGG